rnacentral:tRNA from 2 species
GGGGAUGUAGCUCGAUGGCAGAGCAAUCGGCUUUUAACCGAUUGGGUGUGGGUACCCUUCGGGAACGCUUCGCGAACGAGUCCCACCAUCCCCA